rnacentral:lncRNA from 1 species
GGGAAAGGCUUCAGUGACCGCAGCAGGGAUCAUAGUUUAAGACAGCAGGAGGACAGGACAAGGUCAGCAACAUAGACCAUCUUUGGUCUCAGCUCUUGAUCUGCCCCAUGAAGUAGGGGCUCUCUUGCCUUACACUCCUAACUGCACAGGGAGAAGGGUCUCUGUAAACAUCUUGGAAGGUAUUGGGAGGCACAGAUCAGAGAGGGAUAGGAUGAAAGACUGAACCCUGAGAGUACACAAGUAUGAGGUGGAUGUGAGGUGGAUGUGCCUCUGUGUGCCUGUGAUGGUCAGCGUGUAGGUGUAGCUGCUGGUGUGUGUGUCUGAGGCCGGGAGAAUAGGAGUAUCAGUAGAUGUGGCUGAAUGUGCCUUUGUGAUUUAAUGUGCCUCUGUGACUGACUGUGAGUGUCAAGGAGCGUUUGUGAGGGUAUGGGUGUGCCGGAGAGGACAUCAGCCCUGGUAAGAAAAGUGAAGGUCAGGAGGGGGAUGGGGAACAGCCUAAAGGAGGAGAACAUGGAGAAGGGUGAGAUUCUGAGAAAGGCAUACUACCUUCGGCCCUUCAACCAUUCUCUGAGUCAAUCCCUGGGAGGCAGGCCACUAUUCCUCAUCUAUAGAUGAGAAAACCGAGGCUCAGAAAUGGACAGCUCUGGACCACACCUCACAGUGCCUGGGGAGCAGCCCAGGGGAGAUGGCAGGCAGGUGGAGAAGGAAGUGGUGGCACACUGGGACAGUUGGCACAGGUGCAGGAGGAGCAGGCCAGGCCAAGCCACCGAAUCGGGAGCCAGGGCAGUCUCCCACAAAACUUUCUCUCCCUGGACCAUGGGGCAGUGCAAGGAGGACAGGAAGCUGGGUGGAAGGACUGCAAAGGAGACUGCUUUUCCUGCUAC